UUAUUAUACAAUGUGAUAGGCGUGGGACUUCUAACCCGUUAAGGCUGAGUACUACAUCUAAUUUUAUCGACAAAAAUAAUAAUAUGGGGGGUUGAACCCCUAAUUGAAAAUAUUGAAAAAUAGUGAUUUUUUCGGUUAAAAUAAUUCACAAAUGAUUUUUUUUCUCACCAAAACAUUAUCAAACAUAUGAAAAAAGUAAUGAAUUAGUUAGCCAAGGUUAUUAGGUACCGUUAGUCGUUUUUUUUUUGUUUCUACGACGCAUACAACCUUUGAUAUUAAAAAAAGUAAAAAAAAUAUUAAAAUAGCCAUAACUUUUAGGGGGAGGGGAUUCGACCACUUCGACCCCCGACUUUUGUCGAUAAAAUUAGAUGUAGAACUCAGCCUUAACGGGUUAGAAGUCUCGCCCCUAUCACAUUGUAUA